rnacentral:rRNA from 1 species
AUUGAACGCUGGCGGCAGGCCUAACACAUGCAAGUCGAGCGGAUGAAGGGAGCUUGCUCCUGGAUUCAGCGGCGGACGGGUGAGUGAUGCCUAGGAAUCUGCCUGGUAGUGGGGGAUAACGUCCGGAAACGGGCGCUAAUACCGCAUACAUCCUGAGGGAGAAAGUGGGGGAUCUUCGGACCUCACGCUAUCAGAUGAGCCUAGGUCGGAUUAGCUAGUUGGUGGGGUAAAGGCCUACCAAGGCGACGAUCCGUAACUGGUCUGAGAGGAUGAUCAGUCACACUGGAACUGAGACACGGUCCAGACUCCUACGGGAGGCAGCAGUGGGGAAUAUUGGACAAUGGGCGAAAGCCUGAUCCAGCCAUGCCGCGUGUGUGAAGAAGGUCUUCGGAUUGUAAAGCACUUUAAGUUGGGAGGAAGGGCAGUAAGUUAAUACCUUGCUGUUUUGACGUUACCAACAGAAUAAGCACCGGCUAACUUCGUG